rnacentral:lncRNA from 1 species
UACGUCUUUCAUACCUUGCUCACUAAAGUGUCAGCCUUUGGUUUGCUAAGGUGGCUAAAAAAUAAAUAAAAACAACUUAUCGUUGAAGACUUUAUAACCCCAUAAACACAAUGAAGACUGAAGAAGGAACAAAGAGAACGAGUUGGGGAAGAAACCUAACCCUAACCCUAGCUCUUCAUGGUUCGUAUCUUCGACGACCUAAAGAUCGGCUUCUUCUUUGGCAACCUGAAGAUCGACUUCUUCUUGGGCAAAAACAUUGAAGUGCUACUCCUCUUUCUUACUUCGAUGACUUCAUCUCAACGAAAGUUCUCCUUCGGCAGCAACACAACGUGAAGGACUGCAUCUUCCAUCUCAAUUCUCAAUAGGUAGGUUUUUUCUCUCUGUCACUCACCAUCUCUUAGUCUCACACAAUCGCACUCUUCUCAUCACCUUUUCUCUCUCUAUUUUUCACUCUUUUCAGUGUCCAGCUUCUCAUAGCUUCAAGC